rnacentral:rRNA from 1 species
GGAAGUAAAAGUCGUAACAAGGUUUCUGUAGGUGAACCUGCAGAAGGAUCAUUAGUGAAAGUUUCGGGCCUGCCAUACGGACGCAAACACGUCUCUGGCGCCCAUCACUAUAUCCAUACCAACCCCUGUGCACUGUGAUGACGAAUGUCAUCGAACAAAAAAAAACUCGUAUGGUUGAAUGUACGUGAAAUUGUAGGUAUAGCCUACGAACUAUACACAACUUUCGACAACGGAUCUCUUGGUUCUCCCAUCGAUGAAGAACGCAGCGAAACGCGAUAGGUAAUGUGAAUUGCAGAAUUCCGUGAAUCAUCGAAUCUUUGAACGCACCUUGCGCUCCAUGGUAUUCCGUGGAGCAUGCCUGUUUGAGUGCCGCGAAUUCUCCCUCCCCUUACGGCGGCCGAAAGGCCGAAGUAGGGCGGACGGGGUAGGAUGGGUGUUUGCUGCCUGGGGAUUGUACCAGGCUCGCCCGAAAUGCAUAAGCGCCAGGACCCUCGCUACCGCUCUCUAGGGAAGAGUGGCUAAGCGACCGCUGAGCAUGGCAUGAUACGUCAUUUGCUGUGUGUGGGCGGCCGGUUGGAGAGGUGUCUGCUUUACCAGCCCUAUUUUAAUUCUGGUCUCAAAUCAGGUAGGAUCACCCGCUGAACUUAAGCAUAUCAAUAAGCGGAGGA